rnacentral:rRNA from 1 species
GACGAACGCUGGCGGCGUGCUUAACACAUGCAAGUCGAACGCUGAAACCAGAUGCUUGCAUUUGGUGGAUGAGUGGCGAACGGGUGAGUAACACGUGGGUGAUCUGCCCUACACUUUGGGAUAAGCCUGGGAAACUGGGUCUAAUACCGAAUAUUCACAUCAUCGUAGGGGUGGUGUGGAAAGCUUUAUGCGGUGUGGGAUGAGCCUGCGGCCUAUCAGCUUGUUGGUGGGGUAAUGGCCUACCAAGGCGUCGACGGGUAGCCGGCCUGAGAGGGUGUACGGCCACAUUGGGACUGAGACACGGCCCAGACUCCUACGGGAGGCAGCAGUGGGGAAUAUUGCACAAUGGGCGCAAGCCGGAUGCAGCGACGCCGCGUGGGGGAUGACGGCCUUCGGGUUGUAAACUCCUUUCGCUAGGGACGAAGCCUUUUUGGUGACGGUACCUGGAGAAGAAGCACCGGCUAACUACGUGCCAGCAGCCGCGGUAAUAC